AUACGUAGGGUGCAAGCGUUAAUCGGAAUUACUGGGCGUAAAGCGUGCGCAGGCGGUUUUGUAAGACAGUGGUGAAAUCCCCGGGCUCAACCUGGGAACUGCCCUUGUGACUGCAAGGCUGGAGUGCGGCAGAGGGGGAUGGAAUUCCGCGUGUAGCAGUGAAAUGCGUAGAUAUGCGGAGGAACACCGAUGGCGAAGGCAAUCCCCUGGGCCUGCACUGACGCUCAUGCACGAAAGCGUGGGGAGCAACCAGGAUUAGAUACCCUGGUAGUCCACGCCCUAAACGAUGUCAACUGGUUGUUGGGGAUUUAUUUUCUCAGUAACGAAGCUAACGCGUGAAGUUGACCGCCUGGGGAGUACGGCCGCAAGGUUAAAACUCAAAGGAAUUGACGGGG
rnacentral:rRNA from 1 species